rnacentral:tRNA from 1 species
GGGGUUGUGGCUCAGCGAUAGAGCACUCACCCAGGGCAUGGGAGGCCCUGGGUUCGAUCCUCGGCACCACA